GUGAGGAAUAUUGGUCAAUGGGCGGGAGCCUGAACCAGCCAAGUCGCGUGAAGGAAGAAGGAUCUAUGGUUCGUAAACUUCUUUUGCAGGGGAAUAAAGUGCAGGACGUGUCCUGUUUUGUAUGUACCCUGAGAAUAAGGAUCGGCUAACUCCGUGCCAGCAGCCGCGGUAAUACGGAGGAUCCGAGCGUUAUCCGGAUUUAUUGGGUUUAAAGGGUGCGUAGGUGGUUUGAUAAGUCAGCGGUGAAAGUUUGCAGCUUAACUGUAAAAAUGCCGUUGAAACUGUCGGACUUGAGUGUAAAUGAGGUAGGCGGAAUGCGUGGUGUAGCGGUGAAAUGCAUAGAUAUCACGCAGAACUCCGAUUGCGAAGGCAGCUUACUAAGCUACAACUGACACUGAAGCACGAAAGCGUGGGGAUCAAACAGGAUUAGAAACCCUAGUCGUCC
rnacentral:rRNA from 1 species